GACGAACGCUGGCGGCGUGCUUAACACAUGCAAGUCGAACGAAGUGGCGAACGGGUGAGUAACGCGUAAUCAACCUGCCCUUCAGAGGGGGACAACAGUUGGAAACGACUGCUAAUACCGCAUACUGAAGGAGGUGAUUGCGUCUGAUUAGCUGGUUGGUGGGGUAAAGGCUCACCUAGGCGACGAUCCCUAGAUGGGCUGAGAGGAUGACCAGCCACAAUGGAACUGAGACACGGUCCAGAAUCCUACGGGAGGCAGCAGUGGGGAAUAUUGCACAAUGGGCGAAAGCCUGAUCCAGCCAGGCCGCGUGUGUGAAGAAGGUCUUCGGAUUGGAAAGCACUUUAAGUUGGGAGGCGUUACCAACAGAAUAAGCACCGGCUAACUUCGUGCCAGCAGCCGCGGUAAUAC
rnacentral:rRNA from 1 species